rnacentral:tRNA from 2 species
UCCCUUAUAGCGUAAAGGUUAUCGCGUUCGGCUACGAACCGGAAGGUUCCAGGUUCAAGUCCUGGUGGGGGAG